rnacentral:rRNA from 1 species
UACGUAGGCAGCAAGCGUUGUUCGGAAUUACUGGGCGUAACGCGUGUGUAGGCGGUGCUCCAAGUCUGGUGUGAAAUCUCCCGGCUUAACUGGGAGGGUGCAUUAGAAACUGGAAUGCUAGAGGAUGGGAGAGGUAAGCGGAAUUCCUGGUGUAGCGGUGAAAUGCGUAGAUAUCAGGAGGAACACCGGUGGCGAAGGCGGAUCUCUGGGCCUUACCUGACGCUCAGGUGCGAAAGCUAGGGGAGCGAACAGG